rnacentral:rRNA from 1 species
UACAGAGGUGGCAAGCGUUGUUCGGAAUUACUGGGCGUAAAGGGCGCGUAGGCGGCCUGGUCAGUCCCGUGUGAAAUCCCUCGGCUCAACUGAGGAACUGCACGGGAAACAGCCUGGCUUGAGUUCGGGAGAGGGAAGCGGAAUUCCGGGUGUAGCGGUGAAAUGCGUAGAUAUCCGGAGGAACACCGGUGGCGAAGGCGGCUUCCUGGACCGACACUGACGCUGAGGCGCGAAAGCUAGGGGAGCAAACGGG